UGGGGAAUUUUGGACAAUGGGGGAAACCCUGAUCCAGCCAUCCCGCGUGUGCGAUGAAGGCCUUCGGGUUGUAAAGCACUUUUGGCAGGAAAGAAACGUCGCGGGUUAAUACCCCGCGAAACUGACGGUACCUGCAGAAUAAGCACCGGCUAACUACGUGCCAGCAGCCGCGGUAAUACGUAGGGUGCAAGCGUUAAUCGGAAUUACUGGGCGUAAAGCGUGCGCAGGCGGUUCGGAAAGAAAGAUGUGAAAUCCCAGAGCUUAACUUUGGAACUGCAUUUUUAACUACCGGGCUAGAGUGUGUCAGAGGGAGGUGGAAUUCCGCGUGUAGCAGUGAAAUGCGUAGAUAUGCGGAGGAACACCGAUGGCGAAGGCAGCCUCCUGGGAUAACACUGACGCUCAUGCACGAAAGCGUGGGGAGCAAAACAGGAUUAGAUACCCUGGUAGUCCACGCCCUAAACGAUGUCAACUAGCUGUUGGGGCCUUCGGGCCUUGGUAGCGCAGCUAACGCGUGAAGUUGACCGCCUGGGGAGUACGGUCGGCAAGAUU
rnacentral:rRNA from 1 species